CUGUGCAUUAUGGUGUGCUCUCGAAGAGUCGAGUUGUUUGGGAAUGCAGCUCAAAAUGGGUGGUAAAUGCCAUCUAAAGCUAAAUAUUGGCGAGAGACCGAUAGCGAACAAGUACCGUGAGGGAAAGAUGAAAAGAACUUUGGAAAGAGAGUUAAACAGUACGUGAAAUUGCUGAAAGGGAAACGCUUGAAGUCAGUCACAUUGGCUAGGAAUCAGUCUUGCUUUUGCUUGAUGUAUUUUCUGGUUGAUGGGUCAGCAUCAAUUUUGAUCACUGGAUAAAGUCUUUGGGAAUGUGGCAUCUUUGGAUGUGUUAUAGCCCAUUGUUGCAUACNGUGAUUGGGAUUGAGGAACUCAGCACGCUGUAAAGGCCGGGUCUUUGACCACGUUCGUGCUUAGGAUGCUGGCAUAAUGGCUUUAAUCGACCCGUCUUGAAACACGGACCAAGGAGUCUAACAUGCCUGCGAGUGUUUGGGUGGAAAACCCAUUCGCACAAUGAAAGUGAAAGUUGAGAUCCCUGUAAAAGGGAGCAUCGACGCCUGGACCAGACCUUUUGUGACGGAUCCACGGUAGAGCAUGUAUGUUGGGACCCGAAAGAUGGUGAACUAUGCCUGAAUAGGGUGAAGCCAGAGGAAACUCUGGUGGAGGCUCGUAGCGAUUCUG
rnacentral:rRNA from 1 species